GUGGGGAAUAUUGGACAAUGGGCGAAAGCCUGAUCCAGCCAUGCCGCGUGUGUGAAGAAGGUCUUCGGAUUGUAAAGCACUUUAAGUUGGGAGGAAGGGCAGUAAGUUAAUACCUUGCUGUUUUGACGUUACGGACAGAAUAAGCACCGGCUAACUUCGUGCCAGCAGCCGCGGUAAUACGAAGGGUGCAAGCGUUAAUCGGAAUUACUGGGCGUAAAGCGCGCGUAGGUGGUUUUGUAAGUUGGAGGUGAAAUCCCCGGGCUCAACCUGGGAACUGCCUCCAAAACUGCAUGACUAGAGUACGGUAGAGGGUAGUGGAAUUUCCUGUGUAGCGGUGAAAUGCGUAGAUAUAGGAAGGAACACCAGUGGCGAAGGCGACUACCUGGACUGAUACUGACACUGAGGUGCGAAAGCGUGGGGAGCAAACAGGAUUAGAAACCCGGGUAGUCC
rnacentral:rRNA from 1 species